UACGUAGGGUGCAAGCGUUGUCCGGAAUUAUUGGGCGUAAAGAGCUCGUAGGCGGUCUGUCGCGUCUGCUGUGAAAACUCGGGGCUUAACCCCGGGCCUGCAGUGGGUACGGGCAGACUAGAGUGCGGUAGGGGAGACUGGAAUUCCUGGUGUAGCGGUGAAAUGCGCAGAUAUCAGGAAGAACACCCGUGGCGAAGGCGGCUUUCUGGGACGGUACUGACGCUGAGACGCGAAAGCGUGGGGAGCGAACAGG
rnacentral:rRNA from 1 species